GGGACCCGCACAAGCGGUGGAUGAUGUGGAUUAAUUCGAUGCAACGCGAAAAACCUUACCUACCCUGACAUGUCUGGAAUCCCGAAGAGAUUUGGGAGUGCUCGCAAGAGAGAACCGGAACACAGGUGCUGCAUGGCUGUCGUCAGCUCGUGUCGUGAGAUGUUGGGUUAAGUCCCCCAACGAGCGCAACCCUUGUCAUUGAAUUUGCCACGAGGCACUCUAAUGAGACUGCCGGUGACAAACCGGAGGAAGGUGGGGAUGACGUCAAGUCCUCAUGGCCCAUAUGGGUAGGGCUUCACACGUCAUACAAUGGUCCGGGACAGAGGGCGCCAACCCGCGAGGGGGAGCCAAUCCCGAAACCCGAUCGUAGUCCGGAUCGCAGUCUGCAACUCGACUGCGUGAAGUCGGAAUCAUAAGUAAUCGCGGAUCAGCAUGUCGCGGUGAAUACGUUCCCGGGUCUUGUACACACCGCCCGUCACACCAUGGGAGUGGGUUUUACCAGAAGUGGUCAGCCUAACCGUAAGGAGGGCGAUUACCACGGUAGGAUUCGCGAAGCUGGGGUGAAGUCGUAACAAGGUAA
rnacentral:misc_RNA from 1 species